CCCGUGAGCUAUGGAGAUGGUUCAACUUCCAGAGGCUUCCUCAUAAAUUUUUGGAAUUUUUGAGACACAGAUAAACUUCGGGUGAGCCGGGACAGCCUUCUUCCUCCGCCCAGCCGCCACAGUGAUUGUCGUUAAGUCUGCCACAGGAGGAGUUAUUUUACAGAACAACCUGUUUUCUUCCUCGCAGGUUUAACGUCAAUUAUUUAAUUGUUUUACUAUCUUUUUCUAAAUUUAAAAUCUAGAACUCCGCAUGUGUUAGAAAUAGUGUGGACCUUGGUAGAGGUUAUGUUAAUUUAAAUUUUUAAGAUUAAUAAAUAAAGAUUUGUAUGGUAUUUAAACAGUUUGUAAGUGAGGUAACAGGGUUGAGCUGGGCUCCCCUGAUUUUAGUUUCUGAAAAUUUCUGGGCUAAGUUGGCCCGAAAUGAAAUUAUAACAGUUUGAUUUAAAUUAUUUUAUAUGCAUAUUGGGCCUAAAUUGUGGGUCUGGUUAUGGAUUUGAGGAAUAGUUAGGCUUACUACGGGCCUCGGGGGCUUUAAGCUGGCCCAGGUCCUAGUGCCGGUCCGGCCCAUAGGUUGGGUCGUGACAGA